UAAACCCUAACGAAGUGGUGCCAAAAAGAAUCCCUCAAUGUCCUCUCACACUAAAGCUCUCAAAAACCUAACAAUGUGGCUGAAGUUUUUUACUGAAACUUGAAGGAGAAGAGCUCGACUUCCAUCCUUUUUCCAACUACUCAACAAAGCAGCCACACAUGUACAAACAAGCAGAAUGUAGUAGAAAGAGGAGAAAGAAGACUCACCGGAUCUCAAACUUCCUCAAAGCUCAUACACCGUGCGCAGCUCUGUCACCGCUGUCGAAGCAAGCGGCUGCCAUCGAUUUGUUCGAAAGCUUCAUUUCUCCAACUCUCCCGUAUGAGAUUAAGACGGAUUCUAAAGGGGAAAACGAAACCGUAGUUGUGAAGCUAAGCUAAGGAAUCUCUGUUGAUACAUGCAUACAUCUGUCAUCAGGCAAAAUAACUCAAAUUGAAGCAUUGUUUAGUAGAGGAUAUAGAGAUUAGUAUUUACCAGCCACACAUCGAACGAGAGAUUGAGUCACACAUAGAAAGAAUCCAUCCACCUAGGGUUUGCAUAGAUAAUGAUUCAUGUAGAGACUGCACAGUGGUGAAGAUUGAUAGAGCUAACAAGCAUGGGAUACUAUUGGAGAUGGUUCAAGCGUUGACAGAUCUUGAUCUUAUCAUUUCCAAAUCAUACAUUUCUUCUGAUGGUGGAUGGAUAAUGGAUGUGUUCCACUUAAAGGAUCAGAUUGGAAACAAGGUAACAGACAACAACCUCGUGCAUCAUAUUCAGCAGGUAUCUUUUGUCUCUUCCAUUAUCGUGUCGUGUUGUGGUCCUCUAGAGCUGCAGAUAACCGCAGUUGUAAGGACAAAUAUAUUGGAAACUAGUUUUUUUUGUACAGAUGUUUGCAUUGUGGAUAUGCAUAAUUCAUGGGGUCUUAUGUAAGUUUAGAGACUGCUGUUUUUUUGUCCUCGUUACAUUUGGAAAUUACAUAUUUAUGAGUGUUACUUAUGAAUUGCACAUCAAUUUGAAUUGGGUAUAAUUCUUGACAUUCCCCCUUUAAAUUGGUAUGCAGAAUAUGAAGCCAAGUGAAGUGACAUUGGAAAAGGCAGUUGAACUCUUAUCAGGUAAUGAUGUGAGACAAUUUGGACGCAAAGCCAAACCUAAGGUUGUUGAAAAUGUUUAAACUAUUAAAGCUUUCUAAGAUUUUGAUCUCAUUAAUAAUCAUGAGUACAUAGUUUUCAUGUGCAAUGGAUCUGUUUGGAGAAACAAAACAUCUUCUUAUGGCUAAUAUUUCGUCAAUGGGAAACGAGACGGUACACACAAAAACAUUACUCUACUAUGAAAAAGUCAAUUUGUUAUUGAAGUUUUUGUUUUGAACUCACAAGGUUUAUAAAUCUUUUCAGAUUGAAGAAGCAGAACGGAACUGGUUUGGUCUAUUAUUUACUUAACAUCUUGUAUUUAACAGUAUUGCAGAAUUUUUCAAAGAACUUCCUCUAUUUGUUGUUAAGGCUGGUCCGAUUUGAAGCAAUCUAUAUGGUCCGUAUUGGGAAAAUAAGCUUGAGGUAUUUGACUAGGCAAUAAGAAUUGUAUUUUAGUCAAGUGAAUUGUGAUGAUCUGAUUUUAAUGUGGAAGAAGAACAAGGAGAUGAUCAAGAAGAAUAUUAAGAAGUUGUGUUUUAUAUCAUCUAGCUAGCUAGUUCUUAGAACUUUUGUUGUUAUUUUGGGAUGACUCUUUGAGAGAAACUUGUGUUUAAUUUAGCUCUUGUUUUGAAUCCCAUGGUUGUUUUGAAUUUGGGAUGACAUCAAAACUUAGUAUCCAACUUAUUAGCGACACUAUAAAAAAAACUUACUUUUGACGUUAAUGUUAAUUUGCUCGUAAUUAAUUA